CUGCUUAUGGACCCGAACCUGGGUGAUCUAUCCAUGACCAGGAUGAAGCUUGGGUGAAACUAAGUGGAGGUCCGAACCGACUGAUGUUGAAAAAUAAGCGGAUGAGUCAUGGUUAGGGGUGAAAUGCCACUCGAACCCAGAGCUAGCUAGUUCUCCCCGAAAUUCAUUGAGGUGCAGCAGUUGACUGGACCAUCUAGGGGUAAAGCACUGUUUCGGUACGGGCCACGAGAGCGGUACCAAAUCGAGGCAAACUCUAAAUACUAGAUUUCCCCAAUAAAAGGGGUAAAGGUCAGCUAGUGAGACGAUGGGGGAUAAGCUUCAUCGUUGAGAGGGAAAUAGCCCAGAUCAUCAGCUAAGGCCCCUAAAUGACCACUCAAUGAUGAAGGAAGUACAAGUGCAAAGACAACCAGGAGGUUUGCCUAGAAGCAACCAACCUUGAAAGAGUGCGUAAUAGCUCACUGAUCGAGUGCUCUUGCAUCGAAGAUGAACGGGACUAAGCGAUUUGCCGAAGAUGUGGGAUGUAAAAAUACAUCGGUAGGGGAGCAUUCUGCCUCAGAGGAAAGCACCGACGCGAGAAGGUGUGGACGAAGAAGAAAUGAGAAUGUCGUCUUGAGUAACACAAACAUUGGUGAGAAUCCAAUGCCCCGAAACCUAAGGGUUCCUCCGCAAGUUUCGUCCAUGGAGGGUGUGUUAGGGCCUAAGAUCAGGCCGAAAGGCGUAGUCAAUGGAAAACAGGUUAAUAUUCUUGUACUACCCCUUGUUGGUCCCGAGGGACGGAGGAGACUAGGUUAGCCGAAAGAUGGUUAUCGGUUCAAGGAUGCAAUGUGACCCUGCUUUUUUCAGGGUAAUAAGGGGUAGAGAAAAUGCCUCGAGCCAAUGUCUGAGUACCAAGUGCUACAACGCUGAAGUAACCCAUGCCACACUCCCAGGAAAAUCUCAAACGACCUUUAACAAACGGGUACCGGUACCCGAAACCGACACAGGUAGGUAGGUAGAGAAUACCUAGGGGCGCGAGACAACUCUCUCUAAGGAACUCGGAAAAAUAGCCCCGUAACUUCGGGAGAAGGGUUUCCUCCUCAGGAGGUCGCAGUGACCAAGCCCGGGCGACUUUUUACCAAAAACACAGGUCUCCGCAAAGUCAUAACACCAUGUAUGGGGGCUAACGCCUACCCAAUGCCGGAAGGUUAAGGAAGUUAGUGACCUGAUGACGAGGAAGCCAGCGACCGAAGCCCUGGUGAAUGGCGGCUGUAACUAUAACGAUCCUAAGGUAGCAAAAUUCCUUGUCGGGUAAGUUUCGACCC
rnacentral:ncRNA from 1 species